rnacentral:tRNA from 1 species
GGGGGCGUAGCUCAGUUGGUAGAGCACCUGGUUUGCAACCAGGCGGUCGUCGGUUCGAAUCCGGUCGCCUCCACCA